rnacentral:lncRNA from 1 species
UGAGUCAAUACCUAGGGCCAUGGCCACAGCAAUGUCCCCACCACUCAGUCCCACACCUGCUCCCAGUCACCUGUAGCAGGGCAGUGACUGUGCGGGGCUGUGGUCAGUCCCUAAGCCCAGGACUGUUCUCAGGGCUGCUGGGCUGCCUCUCAGCCUGGAUGGGUUUCAGUUCUCUUGGCCCCUCAGCUCUCGUGGGCUCUAUUUAGCUUUUCAGAUGGGAGACCUGGAGUUGGAAGGAUUUGUGUCUUCAGUCCAAAUAGGUGAACCUCUGUUCAACCUUGUCAAUCCAUAGGGAUUCAUUUUGGGUAUAAGUAGUUCACAAAGUUACAAGGAGCAAACACAAAGUUUAGGCAGGCCACUACAACUGAAGUGUGUGAUUUCUCUUAAAGUGUGAUGGAGGAGAAUGGGACUGAAUACAACCUGUACUCUCCAGGGACACAGAGCCUCACAGAUACGCAGACUUAUCAAAGGAAAAGAAACAAGAAACAUGGGGAGAGUGUGGAGUGUUAGCUCACUGCAAGGAACAAAUUUGCUGCUGGCCUUUCACAUAGUCAGUAAUGAAAUAAAGCAUUACACGAAAAGGAAAGUGGUGUUUGUGGCUCAGAACUCAAUAUGGUGAAGGGAAAGUAAUGUUUUGAGAAAUGUAAUCAUUUAAUUUAUUCCCUUCUGACAACCUCAGCUAAAUUUUGCAUAUAAAUCAUGGUCAUCACAUACUAAUGCUUCACAUCUCUAAAGCCAUGGUGCUCCACAGACACCUAUGCUGUGCAGUCAGCUUGGAGAGAAAACCCAUUCUUUAGCACAGUGACAUUCCCACUUCCUUUCUCCCCUUAAUCCUCAUGAAAAGACACAUAGAAAGCGUAACACAGAGUUGAUUCCCACCAAGUGGCAUCAAGAGACAGAGACAUUUUUAUUCUGCAUAGAGCAAACAGUCUUACAACCCAGCCAUUAGGGUUCCCAGAUACGUGCUAUGACUGCUAAACAUAGGCUUGCACUCACAGCAUUAGCUGGAUGCAGCAGCUCACCCCGCUCUUUAUCUAAGCAAAUUAGGAUAAGUAGGGUUGGCAAACCCCAGUGCCGAGUCCUACAUGCAUGGCAGAUUCGCAGACUUGAACGUGUGGGGAUGUGAGAGCAGGAGGCAGCUCUGAAGGAAAGCCGCAAAGGUGAUCAAAGGGCUGGGGCACCAAGCUUAUGAAGAAAGGCUGAGGUAGCUGGGCUUGUUCAGCCUGCAGAAGAGAAGGCUGUGGGGGAGAUCUCACUGUGGUCUUCAAGUACUUAAAGGGAGCUUAUAAACAGAAGGGAGACUGACUUUCUACAUGGUCUGAUAGUGACAGGACAAGGGUGGGGGGUGUGGCUUUAGACUAAAAGAGGGAAGAUUUAGAUUAGAUAUUAUGAGGAAAUUUUUUACUCAGAGAGUAGUGAGGCACUGGAACAGGUUGCCCAAGGAAGUUGUGGGUGUCCCAUCCCUGGAGGCAUUCAAGGCCAGGUUGGAUGGAAUCCUGGGCAUUCUGAUCUAGUGGGUGGCAACCCUACCCAUGGCAGGGGGGUCAGAACUGGAUGGGCUUUAAGGCCACUUCCAACUCAAGCCAUUCUAUGAUUCUGUGAUAAGCCUAAGUGGUGUA